rnacentral:lncRNA from 1 species
AUGGGAGGUGAGUUUGAACGCAUGUGUCACACUUACUCCCUUGCAGGGGAGCACUACUGUCUGACAGCCGAACUGAGCCGCAGAAGGCCCGGACGAUUCCCCCCCGUGCCAAACCUCCCAGCCCUGUCCCGCAGCGCUCUGCCCUCGCUGCCUGCUGACAGCCCAACUUCGCGAGGCCCCCUCCGAGUGUUCCCUGCUCCCCGCGGGCUGGGUCCCCCCGCUGCCAGAUCCCGUCUCCCCCCGGGGCAGGGAGGGCUGAGCGCCUUUUUUGUCGUUCCGCACGGGGGGGGCCGGAAGGGCCGCCCCUCCUCUCGCAGCCCCGGCCCCCCGCGAUGCCCCCACCCGCGGCGUGGAGCCGUCCCCCCGCCCAAGCACAAAGGCCGGGAGGGUGGGCAGCAGCCGGCGGGGAGCCCCACACCGCGCACAAAGCUGGGGGGGAGGCGGGCGGCCCGCACCCGCCGGGGCACACGCACACGGGUGGGUCCCCUACCUGCAGGUGCCUGUCCGCGGGAGCGCGGGGCAGCGCGAUGCCGCCCGUAUCGCAUGGGGGGAGCGGAGAUGGUGCCGGGAGUGCUCCGGUCCCUCCUCCUCUCCCCUCCUCCUCCUCCUCCUCCUCCUCCUCCUCCUUCUCCUCCUCCUCCCGUGCGUGUCCGUGUCCCUGCGCGCUGCCCGGCGCGGCGGCACUACCGCCGGAGGAGGCAGGGACGGGCUGCGGCGGCUGUCAGCUACCGGAAACCGGGGCCGGGUCGCACACACCACAGGAAGUGUGCAAUUGCACACUCGCACACGCCGGCCGGGCACGGGGCGGGGGGUUGGAGCUCGGCACCCGCACCCCGCGGAGCCCGGUGCGGGGCCCCUGGGGCGGGGGGAGGAGGAGGAGAAGGAGGAUGGAGGAGGAAGAUGAGGAUGGAGGAGGAGGAGGAUGGAGGAGAAAGAUGGGGAUCGAGGACUAGGACGAAGAUGAGGAUGGAGGAGGAGGAGGAAGAUGAAGGAGAAAGAUGA